rnacentral:rRNA from 1 species
UGUAAACGAUGUCGAUUUGGAGGUUGUUCCCUUGAGGAGUGGCUUCCGGAGCUAACGCGUUAAAUCGACCGCCUGGGGAGUACGGCCGCAAGGUUAAAACUCAAAUGAAUUGACGGGGGCCCGCACAAGCGGUGGAGCAUGUGGUUUAAUUCGAUGCAACGCGAAGAACCUUACCUACUCUUGACAUCCAGAGAAUUUAGCAGAGAUGCUUUAGUGCCUUCGGGAACUCUGAGACAGGUGCUGCAUGGCUGUCGUCAGCUCGUGUUGUGAAAUGUUGGGUUAAGUCCCGCAACGAGCGCAACCCUUAUCCUUUGUUGCCAGCACAUUAUGGUGGGAACUCAAAGGAGACUGCCGGUGAUAAACCGGAGGAAGGUGGGGAUGACGUCAAGUCAUCAUGGCCCUUACGAGUAGGGCUACACACGUGCUACAAUGGCGUAUACAAAGAGAAGCGACCUCGCGAGAGCAAGCGGAACUCAUAAAGUACGUCGUAGUCCGGAUUGGAGUCUGCAACUCGACUCCAUGAAGUCGGAAUCGCUAGUAAUCGUAGAUCAGAAUGCUACGGUGAAUACGUUCCCGGGCCUUGUACACACCGCCCGUCACACCAUGGGAGUGGGUUGCAAAAGAAGUAGGUAGCUUAACCUUCGGGAGGGCGCUUACCACUUUGUGAUUCAUGACUGGGGUGAAGUCGUAACAAGGUAACCA